ACAUCCAGAGAAUUUAGCAGAGAUGCUUUAGUGCCCUUCGGGAACUCUGAGACAGGUGCUGCAUGGCUGUCGUCAGCUCGUGUUGUGAAUGUGGUAGUCCCGNAACGAGCGCAACCCUUAUCCUUUGUUGCCAGCACGUAAUGGUGGGAACUCAAAGGAGACUGCCGGUGAUAAACCGGAGGAAGGUGGGGAUGACGUCAAGUCAUCAUGGCCCUUACGAGUAGGGCUACACACGUGCUACAAUGGCGCAUACAAAGAGAAGCGACCUCGCGAGAGCAAGCGGACCUCAUAAAGUGCGUCGUAGUCCGGAUUGGAGUCUGCAACUCGACUCCAUGAAGUCGGAAUCGCUAGUAAUCGUAAAUCAGAAUGUUACGGUGAAUACGUUCCCGGGCCUUGUACACACCGCCCGUCACACCAUGGGAGUGGGUUGCAAAAGAAGUAGAUAGCUUAACCUUCGGGAGGGCGUUUACCACUUUGUGAUUCAUGACUGGGGUGAAGUCGUAACAAGGUAAGCGUAGUGCU
rnacentral:rRNA from 1 species